rnacentral:rRNA from 1 species
GACGGAGGAUGCAAGUGUUAUCCGGAAUCACUGGGCGUAAAGCGUCUGUAGGUGGUUUAAUAAGUCAACUGUUAAAUCUUGAGGCUCAACCUCAAAAUCGCAGUCGAAACUAUUAGGCUGGAGUAUAGUAGGGGUAAAGGGAAUUUCCAGUGGAGCGGUGAAAUGCGUAGAUAUCGGGAGGAACACCAGUGGCGAAGGCGGCUCACUGGACCACAACUGACGCUGAGGCGCGAAAGCGUGGGGAGCGAACAGG